AUAGGAAAUCAGUUGGAUGAAAAGGAGACCACUAUCAAUAUUCAAUACAACAAGUCAACAACCCAAGAAUUGCAAGUAAGAAUCCUAUGGGCAAUAUUCCAAAACCACAACAAUAACACUCACUAAACAAAUCCACAGAAAAACCGAAUCCUCAUCCAUAUCCAUUCCCCCAUUUAACUACUCCCGCCCCCUAUAAAUAAUAAAACCCACACUUUUACAUCAAUCACACCAAAUUAAUUGAGAGAGAAUGACGGAUGUAGCGAUGUUAAUGGCGGAAGAAUACGAGAAGAUGAUGAUGAUGAAGAAGAUGUCGAGUGAUCAUGAAGAUCUGGAGUUGCUUCCUUUAUCUACUGUGGGUUCUGGAGUAUGGUGGAUGAAGAAGAAGCCUCGUAUGAAUAAAUUGGUUCAUGAGCCUAAAUCGAAGAUCGGGAUUGCAACUAUUAAUGGUUUCUUCUCUGCUUGAUACUUGAAAAUUGAAAUUAAUCUGUGUAGGGUUAGUGUAAAUGUUUGUGAAGUUUCUUUUUCUUGUGUAUAGGAUGCGAUGUCUUUUGUUUUUGAUUUUUUUCUAUAUGCAGUUGAACUCUAUAUGAUUUGUAAUGAUCAAGCGGUUUUGAAUCGAAGUUCAUGUAUUCAGUUGAAUCGAUUUUAUGAUCCUUGCUUCAAGACUCGAUUUAGUAAAUUUAUAAACCAGGUUGAAAGUGAGGUCUUAACAUGGCAGCCGGUGACCGGAGGGGGGGUAGGGGGAGGCUGACGGCGGUUAUGGGAGGUGAUGUGGUGGUGGAAAUCUAGGACGAGGCUUUGGGAGUGACUUAAGGGGAGGGUGUCUGCUUUGGUGAGAGGACCGGAGGGACCAAAUAGGAAAAAUGUCAUAUGAGGGCAUAAAGGUCAUUAUACUAAGAGUUAAAUGAUGAAAAUAAACUAUAAUUUACUCUAAAAA